CCUCGGCAUAAACUCCUUUUCCUUCCAAUGCUUACCACCAGGCGACCGUUUCCUCGCUCAGUGGGUACGACACAACAGGUAACCUAAGGUUAACCCUUUAGAGCAGGGGAGGUUGAGACCUGAAAACUUGCUCACUUCAUUCCACAUACUUAAACGUAAUCACCUCAAGCUUAAUUGGCAAAGACAUACCCCCGGCUAGCUGUGACUCAAUAUACUAAUGGGGCAGGCAGAAGGGAAGCCGUUUGCAGGCCCGCAUCCCAAGUGGCACUGAGGUAAGACCACCCCCC